UUGAUUGGAGUCCACCUGUGGUAAAUUCAAUUGAUUGGAAGUUAUUUGGAAAGGCACACACCUGUCUAUAUAAGGUUCCACAGUUGACAGUGCAUGUCAGAGCAAAAACCAAGCCAUGAGUUCGAAGGAAUUGAAUUUAUCACAGGUGGACUACAAUCAAGUUGUAGAAACAUCUCAAUGAUGAUCAAUGGAAACAGGAUGCACCUGAGCUCAAUUUCGAGUCUCAUAGCAAAGGGCGGCAUGUGAAAGUUGAGCUCCUGGCCUAAACACAUUGUGUAACGGGUGUCGUCGUCGGAAGAGGAGGAAUCGGACCAAAGCGCAGCGUAGUGAGACCUGAGCCCUAGGACCAUGCCCCAGGACUACCUGACAUGAUGACUCCUUGCUGUCCCCAGUCCACCUGGCCAUGCUGCUGCUCCAGUUUCAACUGGCCUGGGCCCUAGGACCAUGUCCCAGGACUACCUGACAUGAGGACUCCUUGCUGUCCCCAGUCCACCUGGCCAUGCUCCUGCUCCAGUUUCAACUGUUCUGCCUUACUAUUAUUCAACCAUGCUGGUCAUUUAUGAACAUUUGAACAUCUUGGCCACGUUCUGUUAUAAUCUCCACCCGGCACAGCCAAAAGAGGACUGGCCACCCCACAUAUGCUCUCUCUAAUUCUCUCUUUCUUUCUCUCUCUCGGAGGACC